rnacentral:rRNA from 1 species
UACUGACCCGCUAGCCCAACCUAAUCAAAAACAACAAAACACAUUAACUAAACCCAAAGACACAAACGUCUCAUAAACAAACCAUUUUUCCCCCUUAGUAUGGGCGACAGAAAAGGAACAA